rnacentral:rRNA from 1 species
GUGUGUUCCAGGUAAAUCCGGUUCACUUUAACACUGAGGCGUGACGACGAGGCACUACGGUGCUGAAGCAACAAAUGCCCUGCUUCCAGGAAAAGCCUCUAAGCAUCAGGUAACAUCAAAUCGUACCCCAAACCGACACAGGUGGUCAGGUAGAGAAUACCAAGGCGCUUGAGAGAACUCGGGUGAAGGAACUAGGCAAAAUGGUGCCGUAACUUCGGGAGAAGGCACGCUGACACGUAGGUGAAGUGAUUUACUCAUGGAGCUGAAGUCAGUCGAAGAUACCAGCUGGCUGCAACUGUUUAUUAAAAACACAGCACUGUGCAAACACGAAAGUGGACGUAUACGGUGUGACGCCUGCCCGGUGCCGGAAGGUUAAUUGAUGGGGUCAGCGCAAGCGAAGCUCCUGAUCGAAGCCCCGGUAAACGGCGGCCGUAACUAUAACGGUCCUAAGGUAGCGAAAUUCCUUGUCGGGUAAGUUCCGACCUGCACGAAUGGCGUAAUGAUGGCCAGGCUGUCUCCACCCGAGACUCAGUGAAAUUGAACUCGCUGUGAAGAUGCAGUGUACCCGCGGCAAGACGGAAAGACCCCGUGAACCUUUACUAUAGCUUGACACUGAACAUUGAGCCUUGAUGUGUAGGAUAGGUGGGAGGCUUUGAAGCGUGGACGCCAGUCUGCGUGGAGCCGACCUUGAAAUACCACCCUUUAAUGUUUGAUGUUCUAACGUGGACCCGUAAUCCGGGUUGCGGACAGUGUCUGGUGGGUAGUUUGACUGGGGCGGUCUCCUCCUAAAGAGUAACGGAGGAGCACGAAGGUUGGCUAAUCCUGGUCGGACAUCAGGAGGUUAGUGCAAUGGCAUAAGCCAGCUUGACUGCGAGCGUGACGGCGCGAGCAGGUGCGAAAGCAGGUCAUAGUGAUCCGGUGGUUCUGAAUGGAAGGGCCAUCGCUCAACGGAUAAAAGGUACUCCGGGGAUAACAGGCUGAUACCGCCCAAGAGUUCAUAUCGACGGCGGUGUUUGGCACCUCGAUGUCGGCUCAUCACAUCCUGGGGCUGAAGUAGGUCCCAAGGGUAUGGCUGUUCGCCAUUUAAAGUGGUACGCGAGCUGGGUUUAGAACGUCGUGAGACAGUUCGGUCCCUAUCUGCCGUGGGCGCUGGAGAACUGAGGGGGGCUGCUCCUAGUACGAGAGGACCGGAGUGGACGCAUCACUGGUGUUCGGGUUGUCAUGCCAAUGGCACUGCCCGGUAGCUAAAUGCGGAAGAGAUAAGUGCUGAAAGCAUCUAAGCACGAAACUUGCCCCGAGAUGAGUUCUCCCUGAGACUUAGAGUCUCCUGAAGGAACGUUGAAGACGACGACGUUGAUAGGCCGGGUGUGUAAGCGCAGCGAUGCGUUGAGCUAACCGGUACUAAUGAACCGUGAGGCUUAACCUU